GAUCAUGGCUCAGGACGAACGCUGGCGGCGCGCCUAACACAUGCAAGUCGAACGAGAGAUGAGGAGCUUGCUCUUCAAAUCGAGUGGCGAACGGGUGAGUAACGCGUGAGGAACCUGCCUCAAAGAGGGGGGACAACAGUUGGAAACGACUGCUAAUACCGCAUAAGCCCACGGCUCGGCAUCGAGCAGAGGGAAAAGGAGCAAUCCGCUUUGAGAUGGCCUCGCGUCCGA
rnacentral:rRNA from 1 species